AUGUUCAAUCUCUCCAUAUCCCAGUCUGCUGUCCCCACAUACUUCAAGAUGGGCACCAUUGUUCCUGUACCCAAGAAAGCAAAGGUAACUGGACUAAAUGACUAUUGCCCCUUAGCUGUCACUUCUGUCAUCAUGAAGUGCUUUAAGAGGCUAGUUAAGGAUCAUAUCACCUCUACCUUACCUGUCACCUUAGACCCACUUCAGUUUGCAUACUGCCCCAAUAGAUCCACAGAUGAUUCAAUCGCCAUCACACUGCACACUGCCCUAUCCCAUCUGGACAAUACCUAUGUAAGAAUGCUGUUCAUUGACUAUAGCUCAGCAUUCAACACCAUAGUACACUCCAAGCUCACCAUUAAGCUUGAGGCCCAGGGUCUGAACCCCACCCUGUGCAACUGGGACCUGGACUUCCUGGCGGGCCGCUCCCAGGUGGUGAAGGUAGGAAACAACACAUCCACUUUGCUGAUCCUCAUAACUGGAGCCCCACAAGGGUGCCAGCUCAGCCCUCUCCUGUACUCCCUGUUCACCCAUGACUGCAUGGCCAAGCUCACCUCCAACUCAAUAAUCAAGUUAGCAGAUGACACAACAAUAGCAGGCUUGAUUACCAACAAUGAUGAGACAGCCUACAGGGAGGAGAUGAGGGCUCUGGGAGUGUGGUGCCAGGAAAAUAACCUCUCACUCAAUGUCAACAAAACAAAGGAGAUGAUCGUGGACUUCAGGAAACAGCAGAGGGAACAUCCCCCUAUCUACAUCGACUGGACCACAGUGGAGAAGGUGGAAAGCUUCAAGUUCCUCGGGGUACACAUCACUGACAAACUGAAAUGGUCCACCCACAUGGACAGUGUGGUGAAGAAGGCGGAACAGCGCCUCUUCAACCUCAGGAGGCUGAAUACAUUUGGCUUGGCACCUAAAACCCUCACAAACGUUUACAGAUGCACAAUUGAGAGCAUCCUGUUGGGCUGUAUCACCGCCUGGUACGGCAAUUGCACAGCGCGCAAUCGCAGGGCUCUCCAGAGGGUGGAGCGGUCUGCCCAAUGCAUCACCAGAGGCAAACUACCUGCCCUCCAGGACACCUACAGCACCUGA
rnacentral:lncRNA from 1 species